rnacentral:rRNA from 1 species
GAUGAACGCUGGCGGCGUGCCUAAUACAUGCCAGUCGAGCGAACGGACGAGAAGCUUGCUUCUCUGAUGUUAGCGGCGGACGGGUGAGUAACACGUGGAUAACCUACCUAUAAGACUGGGAUAACUUCGGGAAACCGGAGCUAAUACCGGAUAAUAUUUUGAACCGCAUGGUUCAAAAGUGAAAGACGGUCUUGCUGUCACUUAUAGAUGGAUCCGCGCUGCAUUAGAUAGUUGGUAAGGUAACGGCUUACCAAGGCAACGAUGCAUAGCCGACCUGAGAGGGUGAUCGGCCACACUGGAACUGAGACACGGUCCAGACUCCUACGGGAGGCAGCAGUAGGGAAUCUUCCGCAAUGGGCGAAAGCCUGACGGAGCAACGCCGCGUGAGUGAUGAAGGUCUUCGGAUCGUAAAACUCUGUUAUUAGGGAAGAACAUAUGUGUAAGUAACUGUGCACAUCUUGACGGUACCUAAUCAGAAAGCCACGGCUAACUACGUG